CGGAAGGGGUGUUCCCAUCGCACACCUGGGGGAUAGAUUUUUGCUUCCCCCAGCACAGCUGCCCUUCUGCAGACUGUUCCAAAGCCGGCCGGUUUAUUCCAAAUUCCACUGCGAGUGUUGGUUAAUAUCGACCUUAUCACAGUUUGAAACUGUGGAAAAUCAAUUACGUGCUUUGAAUUACUCCCUGCCCUGGCACCAAAGUGUUUCUUCAUUCUUUCCGGACAGUGAACACUUUGCAACAUCUACCAACGAACAGUCUGUUAGGAUUCUCUGCUAAAUGGAUGUCAGACAAAUAAACGGAACAGAAGGCUGGUGGAAUGCUAAACAUCCCUGCUCCCCUCUGCUGUGGCCGCCGUGCAGCUUGGGACCUUUCUGACUUGCUGCUCAACAUCUGGACGGCAUUCGCGUUGCUUCUCAAGGACACAGGCAUGCACCUCCGGUGAAU
ensembl:lncRNA